UGCGAACUCCUACGGGAGGCAGCAGUGGGGAAUUUUGGACAAUGGGGGCAACCCUGAUCCAGCAAUGCCGCGUGAGUGAAGAAGGCCUUCGGGUUGUAAACCUCUGAACCAGGGACGAUAAUGACGGUACCUGGGUAAUAGCACCGGCCAACUCCGUGCCAGCAGCCGCGGUAAUACGGAGGGUGCAAGCGUUAUCCGGAAUCACUGGGCGUAAAGGGUGCGUAGGUGGUUUCUUAAGUCAGAGGUGAAAGGCUACGGCUCAACCGUAGUAAGCCUUUGAAACUGGGAAACUUGAGUGCAGGAGAGGAGAGUGGAAUUCCUAGUGUAGCGGUGAAAUGCGUAGAUAUUAGGAGGAACACCAGUUGCGAAGGCGGCUCUCUGGACUGUAACUGACACUGAGGCACGAAAGCGUGGGGAGCAAACAGGAUUAGAUACCCGUGUAGUCCAGAUG
rnacentral:rRNA from 1 species